rnacentral:rRNA from 1 species
UCUGGGGCCAUCCCAUCCUGGACACACACCCCAUCUCGAGGAAUCUGGGAAGCUCGGCCGGGUCAGGCCUGGUUAGUACUUGGAUGGGAGACUAUCAAAUAACCAGGAAGGCUAUAAAG